AAACUUUCAACAACGGAUCUCUUGGUUCUGGCAUCGAUGAAGAACGCAGCGAAAUGCGAUAAGUAAUGUGAAUUGCAGAAUUCAGUGAAUCAUCGAAUCUUUGAACGCACAUUGCGCCCACCAGUAUUCUGGUGGGCAUGCCUAUUCGAGCGUCAUUU
rnacentral:rRNA from 1 species